UAAAGUCUCUCAUCUCCCUGCUGUCAUGUCUAAGUCAGAGUCUCCUAAAGAGCCCGAACAGCUGAGGAAGCUCUUCAUUGGAGGGUUGAGCUUUGAAACAACCGAUGAGAGCCUGAGGAGCCAUUUUGAGCAAUGGGGAACACUCACGGACUGUGUGGUAAUGAGAGAUCCAAACACCAAGCGUUCCAGGGGCUUUGGGUUUGUCACAUAUGCCACUGUGGAGGAGGUGGAUGCAGCUAUGAAUGCAAGGCCACACAAGGUGGACGGAAGAGUUGUGGAACCAAAGAGAGCUGUCUCAAGAGAAGAUUCUCAAAGACCAGGUGCCCACUUAACUGUGAAAAAGAUAUUUGUUGGUGGCAUUAAAGAAGACACUGAAGAACAUCACCUAAGAGAUGAUUUUGAACAGUAUGGGAAAAUUGAAGUGAUUGAAAUCAUGACUGACCGAGGCAGUGGCAAGAAAAGGGGCUUUGCCUUUGUAACCUUUGACGACCAUGACUCCGUGGAUAAGAUUGUCAUUCGGAAAUACCAUACUGUGAAUGGCCACAACCGUGAAGUUAGGAAAGCCCUGUCAAAGCAAGAGAUGGCGAGUGCUUCAUCCAGCCAAGAGAGGUCGAAGUGGUUCUGGAAACUUUGGUGGUGGUCGUGGAGGUGGUUUUGGUGGGAAUGACAACUUCGGUCGUGGAGGAAACUUCAGUGGUCGUGGUGGCUUUGGUGGCAGCCGUGGUGGUGGUGGAUAUGGUGGCAGUGGGGAUGGCUAUAAUGGAUUUGGUAAUGAUGGUGGUUAUGGAGGAGGCGGCCCUGGUUACUCUGGAGGAAGCAGAGGCUAUGGAAGUGGUGGACAGGGUUAUGGAAACCAGGGCAGUGGCUAUGGCGGGAGUGGCAGCUAUGACAGCUAUAACAAUGGAGGCGGAGGCGGCUUUGGCGGUGGUAGUGGAAGCAAUUUUGGAGGUGGUGGAAGCUACAAUGAUUUUGGCAAUUACAACAAUCAGUCUUCAAAUUUUGGACCCAUGAAGGGAGGAAAUUUUGGAGGCAGAAGCUCUGGCCCCUAUGGCGGUGGAGGCCAAUACUUUGCAAAACCAUGAAACCAAGGUGGCUAUGGCGGUUCCAGCAGCAGCAGUAGCUAUGGCAGUGGCAGAAGAUUUUAAUUAGGAAACAAAGCUUAGCAGGAGAGGAGAGCCAGAGAAGUGACAGGGAAGCUACAGGUUACAACAGAUUUGUGAACUCAGCCAAGCACAGUGGUGGCAGGGCCUAGCUGCUACAAAGAAGACAUGUUUUAGACAAAUACUCAUGUGUAUGGGCAAAAAACUCGAGGACUGUACUUGUGACUAAUUGUAUAACAGGUUAUUUUAGUUUCUGUUCUGUGGAAAGUGUAAAGCAUUCCAACAAAGGGUUUUAAUGUAGAUUUUUUUUUUUUGCACCCAUGCUGUUGAUUGCUAAAUGUAAUAGUCUG